ACCUGGCUGGCUCAGUCAGAAGAGCAUCGGACUUCUGAUCUUGGGGUUGUGAGUUCGAGUCUCACAUUGGAUG
rnacentral:tRNA from 1 species